AACGAACGCUGGCGGCAUGCCUAACACAUGCAAGUCGAACAAAGCCUUCGGGCUUAGUGGCGCACGGGUGCGUAACACGUGGGAAUCUGCCCUUUGGUUCGGAAUAACAGUUAGAAAUGACUGCUAAUACCGGAUAAUGACGUAAGUCCAAAGAUUUAUCGCCGAAGGAUGAGCCCGCGUAGGAUUAGGUAGUUGGUGGGGUAAAUGGCCCACCAAGCCGACGAUCCUUAGCUGGUCUGAGAGGAUGAUCAGCCACACUGGGACUGAGACACGGCCCAGACUCCUAGGGAGGCAGCAGUGGGGAAUAUUGGACAAUGGCGAAAGCUGAU
rnacentral:rRNA from 1 species